GGCCAGGGAGAGAGGCUUUGCCCAGCACAGGCCCCUCCCAUUUCACUAAUGAGGGGCAGAGAGGGGAAGGGACUGCCCUGGGCCACACACGGGUGAGGCAGCAGCCGGGGGCAGAUGCCUGCACUGCUGGACGCUGGGCAGGGCUGGCCCCUGCAGUCUGGCCCCACAGCUGCGCCCUGGCCCCGACGUCCUGCCCUCCCCGUGCUGCGCCCCCACGCUGCUCUACGCACUGGCCAACCAGGGCCUCACGGCCACCACCACCCCCAGGCAGCCUCAGCACCCCGCUUUAUAGAUUUGAUGAAAGAAGAUUCUAAGUCUCAGGAAUAUAAGAUUCUGGAUUUUGAUAACUGCCAGACCCUGAGAUGCUGGGGUCCUCGUGAGUGACACUUCUGCUGAUAAAACACCCAACAGCAUCUUCUCACAGCUGGGGCUGCAAAGAUCAUCUCGUGGGAGUUAAUGGAGAAGCCAUUUGCAGGUUAUAAAGGACUCACCUCACUGAUGCCAAUUACACCUU
rnacentral:lncRNA from 1 species